rnacentral:rRNA from 1 species
CGUCCAGACUCCUACGGGAGGCAGCAGUGAGGAAUAUUGGUCAAUGGGCGCGAGCCUGAACCAGCCAAGUCGCGUGAGGGAGGACGGCCCUACGGGUUGUAAACCUCUUUUGCCGGGGAGCAACGGGCGUCACGUGUGGCGCCACUGAGAGUACCCGGAGAAAAAGCAUCGGCUAACUCCGUGCCAGCAGCCGCGGUAAUACGUAGGGGGCAAGCGUUAUCCGGAUUUACUGGGUGUAAAGGGGGCGCAGACGGCGAUGCAAGCCAGGAGUGAAAGCCCGGGGCCCAACCCCGGGACUGCACUGGAAACUGCCGGGCUGGAGUGUCGGAGGGGCAGGCGGAAUUCCUAGUGUAGCGGUGAAAUGCGUAGAUAUUAGGAGGAACACCGGUGGCGAAGGCGGCCUGCUGGACGACGACUGACGCUGAGGCUCGAAAGCGUGGGGAGCAAACAGGAUUAGAUACCCCUGUAUA